rnacentral:rRNA from 1 species
UACGGAGGGUGCGAGCGUUGUCCGGAAUCACUGGGCGUAAAGGGCGCGUAGGCGGCCUGAUAAGUAGGGGGUGAAAUCCUGCGGCUUAACCGCAGGGCUGCCUUCUAAACUGUCAGGCUUGAGCACAGUAGAGGCAGGUGGAAUUCCCGGUGUAGCGGUGGAAUGCGUAGGGAUCGGGAAGAACAGCAGUGGCGAAGGCGGCCUGCUGGGCUGUUGCUGACGCUGAGGCGCGACAGCGUGGGGAGCAAACAGG